UGGUACGUAUUUAUUUGUCUGCA
rnacentral:miRNA from 1 species